CUUCACCCAUAUUAUCUGCCAUGUUACAGCCUUCGUGUACAAAGGAAACAUGUGGUUUUGAUAGUAUCUGUAAGAUCUUGGUUUGUCGCAAUGGAGUGAGAGUGAAACACGCUGAUGUAACGUAGGCUACAGUACUAUGGGAAGUGAGAAUUUGGAGUGGGUGGUGCAUGACGAUAUGACCCACUUUCUCCACUAUUUUAGCCAGUGCAGCUGCAUAUCUUACACAGGGACUAGCUCUCUGCUCUGGUGUGUCCAGUAAAAUACUGCAUUAUUACAGAACAUGUCGCUCC